GACGAACGCUGGCGGCGUGCUUAACACAUGCAAGUCGAACGGAAAGGCCCGGCUUUUGGGGGGUGCUCGAGGGGCGAACGGGUGAGUAACACGUGAGUAACCUGUCACUGACCUUGGGAUAACUUAAGGAAACUGGGGCUAAUACCGGAUAGGAGCUACUGCCGCAUGGUGGGGGUUGGAAAGAUUCGGCGGUUGGGGAUGGACUCGCGGCGUAUCAGCUUGAUGGAGGGGUAGUGGCUUACCAAGGCUUGGCAGGGUAGCCGGCCUGGGAGGGUGACCUGCCACGUUGGGACUGGGCUGCGGCCCAGACCCCUACGGGAGGCAGGGGUGGAGAGUAUUGCACUAUGGGCGGGGGCCUGAUGUAGCCCCGCCGCGUCCGGGAUGACGUCCUUCGGGUUGUGUUCCGCUUUCGCCUGUGCCGAGGCGUGAGUGACGGUAAUGGGUAAAGAAGCACCGGCUAACUACGUG
rnacentral:rRNA from 1 species